AUUGAACGCUGGCGGCAGGCUUAACACAUGCAAGUCGAGCGGGGGAAGGUAGCUUGCUACCGGACCUAGCGGCGGACGGGUGAGUAAUGCUUAGGAAUCUGCCUAUUAGUGGGGGACAACAUCUCGAAAGGGAUGCUAAUACCGCAUACGUCCUACGGGAGAAAGCAGGGGAUCUUCGGACCUUGCGCUAAUAGAUGAGGCUAAGUCGGAUUAGCUAGUUGGGGGGGUAAAGGCCUACCACGGCGACGAUCUGUAGCGGGUCUGAGAGGAUGAUCCGCCACACUGGGACUGAGACACGGCCCAGACUCCUACGGGAGGCAGCAGUGGGGAAUAUUGGACAAUGGGGGGAACCCUGAUCCAGCCACGCCGCGUGUGUGAAGAAGGCCUUAUGGUUGUAAAGCACUUUAAGCGAGGAGGAGGCUACUUUAGUUAAUACCUAGAGAUAGUGGACGUUACUCGCAGAAUAAGCACCGGCUAACUCUUUGCCAGCAGCCGCCGUAA
rnacentral:rRNA from 1 species